GGGGAUUUAGCUCAGCGGCAUAAGCACCUGCCUUGCAAGCAGGAGGUCAUGAGUUCAAUCCCUG
rfam:Cavia porcellus supercont2_10 genomic scaffold, whole genome shotgun sequence.